rnacentral:lncRNA from 1 species
CCAUGAUAGUCACACUAAGGUAAAAUUGGCUAAAGUUUUUUCUGACUAGGCCUAACUCACAUCUAUACCAUUGCAGGUAAACAUGCAUGAUGAUGAUUGAAGCUAAAGGUACAGUGUUGAACUUCGGAGGAGAUCUACAAAAACCUUUUACAAAAAUAGGUCAGGAAUAUGGUUCAUGUACCACAAGUUAGUAAUAAUGUGUUUCUUGCGUGCUUAUUCAAAAGGAUAGCAAAACUAAUUCAACUGCCACAUUAUCUGUCCUUUCAGAGUCUACAUAACAUGUCUUAUCUCUCAAAUCCUUCCAUUUCCUCUACACGUUACGUAUUCCCACAAACCUACUGUCAUUUCAAAACACUUCAGAACCCAUUCCUCUUCCCUAUUAUUAUUAGCUCUUUAUUCCAUAAAACUCGCACACUCCCAGCAGUUCUGAACAAUUAUCUCCCUUUGUUUUUCUUUAAUUUUUACUUUAGAACUCUCUACCACUUCUCUCACCAUGGCUAACGAAUAAUCGUCUCUUUCUCAUGUCAUCAACA